rnacentral:lncRNA from 12 species
AGUGUAAGUAAUGGUGCCUGUUUUUUUUCUGGCAGGCUGGUGGUUGAAAGUUUGCCUAGACCAGCAAAAGUUCAGAGACUUUUGGUUGGUGUAGAGACCCAAGCAAAGUGUUCUGACACUCCCUUCUCCAGCUGUGUGGAUGUCCAUGUGUCCAUAAACAGCCUGGCAAAAUCGAGAGACCCUGGCAAGUCUCCUCAGAGAAAGCAGCCCUGGACAAUUCCAUCUGUGUGGACCCUCCAGGAAGAGUUAAAUGGUGUUAGCAGGAUGGCUGCAGGGGCUUGGGAGAACUGGACAAGCAGUUCAGAAGAGAUCUGGAAGAGUGACCAAGAGUAGAGGCAUGGACGUUGGGGACUAAAGCAGUUAAUAAACAUUGUUUGCCAGGAGGAAGAUUGGAGUUUAUUUUGAUUAUUUGAGAGGUCCUGUGUUGGGGAUGGUGGAGUACUUUCCUGUACUGCAAAGCAUUAACAGUCCAAAACAUGAGAAGAUUGAACUCCUAGGAAUGGAAAUUAGACAAAUGGAGGUUGAAGAUAAGACAGAUAAUAUUAUUAAUGCUAGAUAAACACUGAAACACUUGCUUAGAAGAGAAGACUCAACAGCUUUCUAAAAAAAACUACCCACAAGUAGAACUGAUGGAUGGCUUCUUUCUAAGAUAUAUUAAAUGUAAGAAGUUUUUAUGUGUACACAAACAAGGUAUGUAAACCACUGAAGCCACCCUUGACCAGACAUAUACUGGUUUAAGUAUUUUUGUAGUGGUAUUUUUUAAAUGUCUAGUCCAAUAUUAUGUUAUGUGUUUUCAUAGUAACUCCAAAAGGCAUUGCAACAUCUUAGAAUUUCAGCUCUACUAUGUUUUCAGUAUUUUACUAGAGAUGACUUGACAUUUACUUGCAGUAGUAAUUUAUUUAAAGUCAAUAUUGAACACUGCAAGGAUGUGCAUACAUUACAGUUUGAGAGGGUAUCAAAGGCAGCCACUCUGAUAAUACUUGCUUAAAUACUGGCUACUCAUAUAUUUGCCUGUUGCUCAGGGGCCUUCUGUAUAAGCAAGAAGUGGC